rnacentral:rRNA from 1 species
CCUACGGGAGGCAGCAGUGAGGAAUAUUGGUCAAUGGACGAGAGUCUGAACCAGCCAAGUAGCGUGAAGGAUGACUGCCCUAUGGGUUGUAAACUUCUUUUAUAUGGGAAUAAAACGUUCCACGUGUGGGAUUUUGUAUGUACCAUAUGAAUAAGUAUCGGCUAACUCCGUGCCAGCAGCCGCGGUAAUACGGAGGAUCCGAGCGUUAUCCGGAUUUAUUGGGUUUAAAGGGAGCGUAGGUGGAUUGUUAAGUCAGUUGUGAAAGUUUGCGGCUCAACCGUAAAAUUGCAGUUGAGACUGGCAGUCUUGAGUACAGUAGAGGUGGGCGGAAUUCGUGGUGUAGCGGUGAAAUGCUUAGAUAUCACGAAGAACUCCGAUUGCGAAGGCAGUUCACUGGACUGCAACUGACACUGAGGCUCGAAAGUGUGGGUAUCAAACAGGAUUAGAUACCCCAGUAGUC